rnacentral:rRNA from 1 species
UGCAAGUCGAGCGCGGGAAGCGAGUGGAUCCCUUCGGGGUGAAGCUCGUGGAACGAGCGGCGGACGGGUGAGUAACACGUGGGCAACCUGCCUGUAAGAUCGGAAUAACCCCGGGAAACCGGGGCUAAUGCCGGGUAAUACUUUCUUUCGCAUGAAGGAAAGUUGAAAGAUGGCUUCUCGCUAUCACUUACAGAUGGGCCCGCGGCGCAUUAGCUAGUUGGUGAGGUAACGGCUCACCAAGGCGACGAUGCGUAGCCGACCUGAGAGGGUGAUCGGCCACACUGGGACUGAGACACGGCCCAGACUCCUACGGGAGGCAGCAGUAGGGAAUCUUCCGCAAUGGACGAAAGUCUGACGGAGCAACGCCGCGUGAACGAUGAAGGUCUUCGGAUCGUAAAGUUCUGUUGUUAGGGAAGAACAAGUACCGUGCGAAUAGAGCGGUACCUUGACGGUACCUAACGAGGAAGCCCCGGCUAACUACGUGCCAGCAGCCGCGGUAAUACGUAGGGGGCAAGCGUUGUCCGGAAUUAUUGGGCGUAAAGCGCGCGCAGGCGGUUCCUUAAGUCUGAUGUGAAAGCCCACGGCUCAACCGUGGAGGGUCAUUGGAAACUGGGGAACUUGAGGACAGAAGAGGAGAGUGGAAUUCCACGUGUAGCGGUGAAAUGCGUAGAUAUGUGGAGGAACACCAGUGGCGAAGGCGACUCUCUGGUCUGUUUCUGACGCUGAGGUGCGAAAGCGUGGGUAGCAAACAGGAUUA